AUUGAACGCUGGCGGCAGGCUUAACACAUGCAAGUCGAGCGAGCGGCGGACGGGUGAGUCAUGUCUGGGAAACUGCCUGAUGGAGGGGGCUAACUACUGGAAACGGUCGCUAAUACCGCAUAACAUAAGAUGUUCCCAGAUGGGAUUUGCUAGUAGGUGGGGUAAUGGCUCACCUAGGCGACGCUCCCUAGCUGGUCUGAGAGGAUGACCAGCCAGACUGGAACUGAGACACGGUCCAGACUCCGACGGGAGGCAGCAGUGGGGAAUAUUGCACAAUGGGCGCAAGCCUGAUGCAGCCAUGCCGCUUGUGGGAAGAAGGCCUUCGGGUUGUAAAGCACUUUCAGCGAGUAGGCGUUACUCGCAGAAGAAGCACCGGCUAACUCCGUGCCAGCAGCCGCGGUAAUAC
rnacentral:rRNA from 1 species